UACGUAGGGGGCGAGCGUUGUCCGGAAUCAUUGGGCGUAAAGCGCGUGUAGGCGGCCCGGUAAGUCCGCUGUGAAAGCCCGAGGCUCAACCUCGGGAGGCGAGUGGAUACUGCUCAGCUAGAGUCCGGAAGAGGCGAGUGGAAUUCCUGGUGUAGCGGUGAAAUGCGCAGAUAUCAGGAGGAACACCAAUGGCGAAGGCAGCUCGCUGGGACGGUACUGACACUGAGACGCGAAAGCGUGGGGAGCAAACAGG
rnacentral:rRNA from 1 species